rnacentral:rRNA from 1 species
UACGUAGGGUCCGAGCGUUGUCCGGAAUUACUGGGCGUAAAGAGCUCGUAGGUGGUUUGUCGCGUUGUCCGUGAAAACUCACAGCUCAACUGUGGGCGUGCGGCGAUACGGGCAGACUGGAGUACUGCAGGGGAGACUGGAAUUCCUGUGUAGCGGUGGAAUGCGCAGAUAUCAGGAGGAACACCGGUGGCGAAGGCGGGUCUCUGGGCAGUAACUGACGCUGAGGAGCGAAAGCGUGGGGAGCGAACAGG